rnacentral:rRNA from 1 species
UACGUAGGGUGCAAGCGUUGUCCGGAAUUAUUGGGCGUAAAGAGCUCGUAGGUGGCCUGUCGCGUCGGCUGUGAAAACUCGGGGCUCAACUCCGAGCUUGCACUCGAAACUGUCAGGCUUGAAUAUGGAAGAGGGUCGCGGAAUUCCCGGUGUAGAGGUGAAAUUCGUAGAUAUCGGGAGGAACACCAGUGGCGAAGGCGGCGACCUGGGCCAAUAUUGACGCUGAGGUGCGAAAGCGUGGGGAGCAAACAGG